GCGCCAGUAGUGUCUGGGACAUGCCGCCUUUGAAUACAGGGUGUCCAGCCAUUUAGGCGGAGCUGGGGUUCGACUCCCCGCUGGUGCA